UACGUGAAGCAAGCUUGCUUGCUUUGACGACGACCGGCGCACGGGUGAGUAACGCGUAUCCAACCUGCCCCUUACUACGGGACAGCCCGGCGAAAGUCGGAUUAAUACCGUAUGUGGUGUGAAGAGGGCAUCUGACUUACACUAAAGAUUCGUCGGUAAGGGAUGGGGAUGCGUCCGAUUAGGUUGUCGGCGGGGUAACGGCCCACCGAGCCCGCGAUCGGUAGGGGUUCUGAGAGGAAGGUCCCCCACACUGGAACUGAGACACGGUCCAGACUCCUACGGGAGGCAGCAGUGAGGAAUAUUGGUCAAUGGGCCGAGGAGCCCUGGAACCAGGCACCAACGGUAGCGUCGCAGGGAAGACUGCCCUAUGGGUUGUAAACCUCUUUAGUCUGGGAAUAAAGUUGGCGACGUGUCGCCUUUUGUAGGUACCAGAAGAAUAAGGACCGGCUAAUUCCGUGCCAGCAGCCGCGGUAAUACGGAAGCGUCCGGGCGUUAUCCGGAUUUAUUGGGUUUAAAGGGAGCGCAGGCGGCCUGUUAAGCGGGCAGUUAAAGGCGGUGGCUCAACCAUCGUUAGCUGUCCGAACUGAUAGGCUUGAGUACGUGCGAGGUAUGCGGAAUUCGUGGUGUAGCGGUGAAAUGCUUAGAUAUCACGAAGAACCCCGAUUGCGAAGGCAGCAUACCAGUGCGCCACUGACGCUAAAGCUCGAAAGCGCGGGUAUCGAACAGGAUUAGAUACCCUGGUAGUCCGCGCGGUAAACGAUGGAUGCCCGCUGUGCGGCCUUUAGUGGUUGCGCGGCCAAGCGAAAGCGUUAAGCAUCCCACCUGGGGAGUACGCCGGCAACGGUGAAACUCAAAGGAAUUGACGGGGGCCCGCACAAGCGGAGGAACAUGUGGUUUAAUUCGAUGAUACGCGAGGAACCUUACCCGGGCUUGAAUUGCAGCUGCAUGGGGCAGAGAUGUCCCUUCCCUGUCGGGGCUGCUGUGAAGGUGCUGCAUGGUUGUCGUCAGCUCGUGCCACGUGAGGUGUCGGCUGGUGAAAGUUGCCGCAACGAGGCGCAACCCUUCGUGUUUAGUUGCCAACGUUGAGUUUGGAACCCUGAGCAGACUGCCGGUGAUAAGCCGGAGGAAGGUUUGAGGAUGACGUCAAGUCAUCAUGCCCCUUACGCCCUGGGCGACACACGUGCUACAAUGGCCGGGACAAAGGAUCGCGAUCCCGCGAGGGUGAGCUAACUCCAAAAACCCGUCCUCAGUUCGGAUUGUAGGCUGCAACUCGCCUGCAUGAAGCCGGAAUCGCUAGUAAUCGCCGGUCAGCCAUACGGCGGUGAAUUCGUUCUCGGGCCUUGUACACACAGCCCGUCACACUAUGGGAGCUGGCCAUGCCCGAAGUCGUUACCUUAACCGCAAGGAGGGGGAUGCCGAAGGCAGGGCUAGUG
rnacentral:rRNA from 1 species